UCAUAAUCAUGCAUAGCUGCUGCUAUAUACAGCGCCAUUAAUUCUAAGGCUGGAAUAUUUGAAGAUAAGCAUCCAUAAUUUUCAUCAACAAAAGUACAGCUCUUGGAGGAUAUAUAAGCAACUCGACCAGGUGACUAGGGAUUAAAUGGCUGAAGUGAGAUCUGGCUUCUCAAGGAAAGAGCACAGCCGAGGCACUGCUAAAAGGCACUCCUGGGCACAACUGCUACCUGGUUAUCCAAGAGCAGGCCUGGAUCUAGGAAUACCCUGGAAGCUGAAAACCUAAUUUUUAAGGGAAGUGAGACUUAGUCAAAAAACAAAAGAAACAAAAAACAGAACAGGCUACUGUACCACCUGCUCUCUCAAUCCUCAACCAGUGGUACCUUCAUCUUUUCCGUGUAAAGCCUGUUUAUGGAAUGAAAGAAAAAAGCUACAUACCAACGUCAGUACCUGUCAUCAAAUCACCAUGCAUUUGUUGAAAUCCAGGAAUUGGUCUUGUUGUGAGAUACCAUACAGCAUGAAGAACAUCUGUUGCAUGUAUUCGAUUGUGAUCUAAAAAUCAUAAUGUUAAUUUAAAUAUUAGGCAGAAGACUUGGUCACAAGAAUGUUGUCAGAAACUGCAGUUACUGUGAGGGAAGUGAAAUUGAAAAGUGGCUGUGAAAAACCUUACACAGAGUUGUCUGCCUAUGGCAGGAAGGGUAAUAUAGGCUGUUAACAGGAUGGGCGGCGGCUGAAUGAAUCCAGGCUGGAGGAUUACAAAACACAGACUGAGAGCCAAGGAGUAAGAGCAACCCAAAAGUUACAUGUUAACAAGUGGGUUGGGAAACAGGGACCCAACGAAAGAAUGAGUGGAGGAAAUCAUGGGGUGGAAGGAAGAAGGAGCCCAAAUAAAGUGGUCAAAAACUGGUAAAACACUUGGAUUUAAAGACAGAAGUAAAUGGCUAUAUAUUGUCGUCAGUGGCAAUAAAGUGGGAGAAAGGCAAGAAAUGGAGAGACACUCUGUAGGGAAAGUGCUGUAGUCCUUUGAUCAUUUCAACUGGGCCUUUAUGUACUUUUUCUAGAUCCUUUCUGAGAAGACGUUGAUCAGAAAUGUAGCCACACUAUACAAUUAUAUUUGGAAUUAUAGUUUGGUGAGGAUUCCAAGGUUUCUGUUCCCUAGCACCCUCACCAUAAUACUACAAUUCCAAGAAUUCUCUGGACAGAAAGAAUAACUACUGAGCCAGUUGAAAUCCCCGGUGUAUGUGUAUCACCAGAAGAAUGAAGAAUUAAAGUUAAAUAGGAAUCUGCCUUAUCCUGAUCAGACCAUUGUUCCAUCUAGCUCAGCAUUGUCAAUCCUGAGUGGCAGCAGUUCUCUAGGAUUUCAGACAGAGGUCUUUUCCAGUCAUACCUGGAGAUAUCAGGGAUUGAAUCUGGAACCUUCUGCAUAAAAACACACACACUAGGUUUCUCACAAACCUAGACAGCAAGUUACAGAACAUGACAUAUUCACACCAGCAACAAACCUGACUAAGGAUUCUAUUGGAUUUAUCUCCCAUUUUUUUAAGAAGAUCAAAUAUUUGAAAAUUCCAGUUAUUCAUCUUUUCCAUCAGUGAAUUGUGGUCUUCUAUUGCCAUCAGCUCUAUUGAAGGAUCUUCCUUCAUCUGUAUAAGAGUAAUAUACAGACAAAGAUAUGUGUUUGUUAAAGACCUUUAGCAUAUGCAUUAUCUAUAUAAAUAAAAUAUGCCUUAUCUUAUACACACACACACAGAGAUAGAUAUAUAGAUAUAGAUAUAUAUGUUCCCUAUAGAUUCCUACACCCUUUGAGCUAUUGGGACCAAACUUUGCAAAGUGACUUCCCAUGACCCUACAAGUAACAUAGGGUACCCAGAAACCCCGACCAUCACCCCUCUAACCUAUUAUAAAUUUUUAUUAUAAGCCCGAGUAAUGCUGGGUACUUCAAGCUAGUGAUAAAACACAGUCUUUU